AGAGCGAACGCUGGCGGCAGGCCUAACACAUGCAAGUCGAGCGCCCGUAGCAAUACGGGAGCGGCAGACGGGAUAGUAACACGUGGGAACGCGCCCUUCGGUUCGGAAUAACUCAGGGAAACUUGAGCUAAUACCGGAUACGCCCUUACGGGGAAAGAUUUAUUGCCGAAGGAACGGCCCGCGUCCGAUUAGCUAGUUGGUGAGGUAAUGGCUCACCAAGGCUACGAUCGGUAGCUGGUCUGAGAGGAUGACCAGCAUCACUGGGACUGAGACACGGCCCAGACUCCUACGGGAGGCAGCAGUGGGGAAUCUUGGACAAUGGGCGAAAGCCUGAUCCGGCAAUAUGGCGUGAGUGAAGAAGGGCAACGCAGCUUGUAAAGCUCUUCAUCGAGUGUGCGAUUGUGACAAGACUUGAAUAAGAAGCCCCGGCUAACUCCGUGCCAGCAGCCGC
rnacentral:rRNA from 1 species